rnacentral:lncRNA from 1 species
UCCUGUCCACAAUCAAAUAAUGACAGCUAUAUAUUGAAUCGUGACUCAAACCAAAACUGAGGUCAGGAAGACUGGAAAGUAAAAGACAAAUUUUUCGAAAAUUUUUUAAGUUUCUUGCACUGGGUGUACAAUUGUUGUUACGAAAACAACCAUAGAAGUCAUAAAACAAACACAUAUUUCUGAAGAAAUCAAUUUUGAAAACAGCUUAUGGAAUCCCCCGGAGGGACAUAAAAAGGACGGGGUUGCUCGCCCUACAAAAUCGGGCAGCACGCGUCAUAACUUUUUCAAAUUACGAUCGUCAUACUGAUGAAUUGUUGAGGAUGGUCAACUGGGUUAAACUGGACCGUCAACGCCUUGUUAAUAAAUCAAUAAUGAUGUACAAGAUUGUAAAUAAUAUGGUUCCGGAAUAUCUUUGUUCACGCUUUGUCUUCCGUUCCGAUACUUUGACUUAUAAGCUAAGAGAUAGUGAUGGUACGCUUGCUAUUCCACAGCCCCACACUAAUUACUGUAAAAGAAGUCUUUCUUACAGCGGAGUUGUACUAUGGAAUAGUCUAGCCUUGAAUAUUAGACAAUCGCUGUCCCUUAAUCAAUUUAAAUCUGAGUUGAAGAACUAUGAUUUUGACAGUGGUCUUAUAUAAAUUUUAUUUUGUUUUUAUACACGGCUUCCUUGUAAAGCAGGUUUUUAUCAUUUCUCUUAUUCUAGUAGUUAUUUACAAUAUUAAAUUAGUUAGGUAGUUAGAUUUAUUUAAAUUAAAUAUUGUAUAGUCCUGAAGGAAAUACCGUGUCUAAAUAAAGAUUUUACCUUUACCUUUUACCUUACCUACCUUUGAAGGGUUCAAAAAGCGGUUUUGGCAAAGGGUGUUCCGCCUCAAAAGGUCCACAGCAGAAGCUUUUGCGGAACCCUUUAGGGUGCUGAGCCGAAAAAAGCCACACCCAUAAAGCAGGACCUCAGUUUAGCACUUUAUCGUACCUAAAACGGACAACUCUAAAGGACAUGCUUUGUGCCUUCUAAAGCGGGCAUGUAAAGUUGGUCCUUGCCACAUGUCAGUCAUAUUUUAUCCGACUAAAGGAGCCCCCUGUCUACUUGUAGCACAGACAUAAGUUUAUGCCUAACCUUAUGUGUUCCGUAAAAAGGGAGUUUCAUUGUGUACAAAUUCAACUCAAGAGAAAACAUUAAGUACUAUAUUUGCUUUUCUAAAAUUUUAUUGCAAUAUAUUCUAUAAAUAAUAAAAUUCCAUUUGACCGUGUUUUCUUGAUAAAUUAAAAACUUUUCCUGCAAAUCUAAUUCUAUAUAGUAAACUACAACUCUUUGCAAGUGACAGAAACAACGUGACUUGAGAUACUGAGACACGAGCAAAUUCUUUACAAUUUUUACUUCUACUAUACUCAAAUGUACCUCUACCAUACUCAAGUAAGUCUUGACACUGAGACAGACCUACCACUGGUCACCCGUAAUCCAUGUUUACUAACCAUAUAUCUAGCAACUGAAAGUCGGUAAUCAGGCCGUUUGUCCUUCACUUCGAAGACGUUUCGCCCCAUUCAUUAAUACCUUCUUACUCUAUACUCUAUAAGUUUCCACUUUCAAGGGCAAGAUAACAACACCCAGAAACCGGCCGGGAAAACAGGGAAAAUACAAGCCCCUGGCAAUGUCGACUCGCAGAAUCUAGCAGGCCUCUUGAUGGCAGUCUUAUCUAAUCCAUCUUAUGGAAAUGUUUUAUAUAUUACGUCUAUUUUGUUAAAUAUACUGUAAAAGUUAUGUUUUCUUUUACUAGGGUAAGGUAGGGGAGAAAAGGUGAGGGCGAGAGAGGGGAAGGGGGGGAGAGAGAGAAAAACUUCAACCUUCUGAUCGAUACAAUAAAUUAGUUGUUGUUUUUGUUGUAUUGUACUUUGACACAUUCGUGUUGUGUUGUAUUCUGAUACUUAAGAUUCAUUUCACGACAGACCUUUAAGGAGCUCAGUCACGGUAUUUUGAGUUAUUUUGGCUCCGUACAAAAUUACCUUUAAAUGGCAGGAAACCUGAAAAUAACAGUUUAAUAAGAUAGAACAACACCAGAGAGAUAAUGAUGAACCAUAAAGGAACAAGGAUGGCUAAGGAUGGAGAAGAUU